UCCUUGGUGAUCUAGUGGCUAAUGAUCCUGCGCUCUCACCACCGUGGGCCAGGUUCAAUUCCCAGGCAGGGAA